rnacentral:rRNA from 1 species
AGAGUUUGAUCCUGGCUCAGGGUUAACGCUAGCGAUGUGCCUAAGGUAUGCAAGUCGAACGGUGAAAUUUUGGUAGCAAUACUGAAAUUUCGCAGUGGCAAACGGCUGAGUAACGCGUGGGAAUCUCCCCCUAAGUCUGAUAUAGCUCACCGAAAGGUGGGGUAAUCUCAGAUAGUCUCGCGAGAGUAAAGAUUUUUCGCUUAGGGAUGAGCCCGCGUCCUAUCAGGUUGUUGGUGAGGUAAUGGCUCACCAAGCCUAUGACGGGUAGCUGGUCUGAGAGGAUGGCCAGCCAGACUGGGACUGCGAUACGGCCCAGACUCCUACGGGAGGCAGCAACUAGGAAUUAUGCACAAUGGCCGAAAGGCUGAUGCUGCGACAUCGCGUGGAGGAUGAAGGUCUUAGGAUCGUAAACUCCUUUUAUCUACGAACAGGUUCUGAGUGUAGUAGAUGAAUAAGUGCCUGCCAACCACGUGCCAGAAGCAUCGGUAAUACGUGGGACACAAGCGUUACCCGGAUUCACUGGGCGUAAAGAGAUGCGUAGGCGUCUAGAAAAGUUCUGUGUUAAAUCUCAAGGCUCACCCUUGAAACUGCAUAGAAAACUCUCUGGAUUGAGUCAUGUAGAGAAGAAGGGAAUUCCUGGUGGAGCGGUUAAAUGCGUUGAUAUCAGGAGGAACACCAAUGGCGAAAGCACUUCUUUGGACAUGUACUGACGCUAAGGCUCGAAAGUGUGGGGAGCAAAACGGAUUAGAUACCCGUGUAGUCCACACCGUAAACGAUCCCUAUUAGAUGUUCGAAUUCUUGCUGAAAUUUCUCUUCGGAGAAGGAUAAGCAUUAUUUGAGUGUCGCAGCUAACGCGUUAAAUAGGGCGCCUGUGAAGUACGACCGCAAGGUUAAAACACAAAGGAAUUGACGGGGACCCGCACAAGCAGUGGAGUGCCUGGUUUAAUUCGAUGAUCAGCGAAGAACCUCACCUGGGCUUGAACUGUAGCUGCAAACCCUAUGAAAAUAGGGCUCUUUCGAAGGUGCUAUAGAGGUGAUGCAUGGCUGUUGUCAGCUCGUGUCGUGAGAUGUCGGGUUAAGUCCCACAACGAGCGCGACCCCUUUCAGAUGUUACAAUUACUUCUGAUACUGCCCCGCCCAAACGGGGAGGAAGGAGGGGAUGACAUCCAGUCAUCAUGUCCCUUAUGUCCAGGGCUACACAGACACUACAAUGGCGAUAUACAAUGGGCUGCCAAACCGCGAGGUGGAGCUAAUCCCAUCAAAGAUCGUCUCAGUUCAGAUUGCAGGCUGCAACUCGCCUGUAUGAAGUUGGAAUUGCUAGUAAUCGGACAUCAGCAUGGUCCGGUGAAUACGUUCUCGGGUCUUGUACACACCGCCCGUCAGGGCAUGGGAGUUGCUCAUACUCGAAGUCUACGUUUAUCGUGGCCGAAAGUUAUGGGUGGCGACUGGGCUUAAGUCGUAACAAGGUAACC